rnacentral:rRNA from 1 species
AGUUCGAUCCUGGCUCAGAUUGAACGCUGGCGGGAUGCUUUACACAUGCAAGUCGAACGGCAGCACGGACUUCGGUCUUGGUGGCGAGUGGCGAACGGGUGAGUAAUGUAUCGGAACGUGCCUAGUAGCGGGGGAUAACUACGCGAAAGCGUAGCCAAUACCGCAUACGCCCUUCGGGGGGAAAGCGGGGACCUUCGGGCCUCGCACUAUUAGAGCGGCCGAUACCGGAUUAGCUAGUUGGUGGGUAAUCGCUCACGAAGGCGACGAUCCGUAGCUGGUCGGAGAGGACGACCAGCCACACUGGGACUGAGACACGGCUCCAGACUCUACGGGAGGGCGGUGGGGAAUUUUGGACAAUGGGGGAAACCCUGAUCCAGCCAUCCGGCGUGUGCGUGAUGAAGGCCUUCGUUGUAAAGCACUUUUGGCAGGAAAGAAACGGCACGGAUAAUACCGUGCAACUGACGUACCUUUGUGAAUACACCGGCUAAUCACGUGCCAGCAGCCGCGGUAAUACGUGGUAGGUGCAAGUGUUAAUCGGAAUUACUGGGCGUAAAGCGUGUGCGCAGGCGGAACAAAAGAAAGAUGUGAAAUCCCAGAGCUAACUUGAACUGCAUUUUAACUACCGAGCUAGAGUGUGUCAGAGGGAGGUAAAUUCCGCGUGUAGCAGUGAAAUGCGUAGAUAUGCGGAGGAACACCGAUGGCGAAGGCAGCCUCCUGGGAUAACACUGACGCUCAUGCACGAAAGCGUGGAGCAACAGGAUUAGAUACCCUGGUGUAGGUCCACGCCCUAAACGAUGUCAACUAGCUUUGCCAGCCUUCGGCCCAGGCGCAGCUAACGCGUAUUGACCGCCUGGGGAGUACGGUCGCAAGAUUAAAACUCAAAGGAAUUGACGGGGACCCGCAAUAAGCGGUGGAUGAUGUGGAUUAAUUCGAUGAACGCAAAACCUUACCUACCCCGAUAUGCUCCGAAUCCCGAAGAUUGGGGAAAGGUGCUCGCAAGAGAACCGAACACAGGUGCUGCAUGGCUGUCGUCAGCUCGUGUCGAGAUGUUGGUUAAGUCCCGCAACGAGCGGCAACCCUUGUCAUUAGUUGCUACGUAGGGCACCUUGACGGAGACUGCCGGGUGGAGCAAACCGAGGGGAAGGUGGGGAUGACGUCGGUCUCAUGGCCUUUGAGGGUAGGGCUUCACAACAAUGAGUCAAUAGAUGGUCGCCAACCCAAGAGGGGAGCCAAUCCCAGAACCGAUCAGUCCGGAUCGCAGUCUGCAACUCGACUGGCGAAGUCGGAAUCGCCAGUAAUCGCGGAUCACAGUUGCCGUGUAAUAUGUUCCGGGUCUGUACACAUCGCCCGUCACGACCAUGGGAGUGGUUUUAAUAGAAGAAGUAGUCAACCGUGGAGUGGGCGAUUACCACGGUGAGAUUUUCAGCGACUGGGUGAAGUCAGUA